rnacentral:rRNA from 1 species
GAGUUUGAUCCUGGCUCAGAUUGAACGCUGGCGGCAGGCCUAACACAUGCAAGUCGAGCGGAAACGAGUUAACUGAACCUUCGGGGAACGUUAACGGCGUCGAGCGGCGGACGGGUGAGUAAUGCCUGGGAAAUUGCCCUGAUGUGGGGGAUAACCAUUGGAAACGAUGGCUAAUACCGCAUAAUAGCUUCGGCUCAAAGAGGGGGACCUUCGGGCCUCUCGCGUCAGGAUAUGCCCAGGUGGGAUUAGCUAGUUGGUGAGGUAAUGGCUCACCAAGGCGACGAUCCCUAGCUGGUCUGAGAGGAUGAUCAGCCACACUGGAACUGAGACACGGUCCAGACUCCUACGGGAGGCAGCAGUGGGGAAUAUUGCACAAUGGGCGCAAGCCUGAUGCAGCCAUGCCGCGUGUAUGAAGAAGGCCUUCGGGUUGUAAAGUACUUUCAGCAGUGAGGAAGGUGGGUAUGUUAAUAGCAUACUCAUUUGACGUUAGCUGCAGAAGAAGCACCGGCUAACUCCGUGCCAGCAGCCGCGGUAAUACGGAGGGUGCGAGCGUUAAUCGGAAUUACUGGGCGUAAAGCGCAUGCAGGUGGUUUGUUAAGUCAGAUGUGAAAGCCCGGGGCUCAACCUCGGAAUUGCAUUUGAAACUGGCAAACUAGAGUACUGUAGAGGGGGGUAGAAUUUCAGGUGUAGCGGUGAAAUGCGUAAAGAUCUGAAGGAAUACCGGUGGCGAAGGCGGCCCCCUGGACAGAUACUGACACUCAAAUGCAAAGGCGUGGGGAGCAAACAGGAUUAAGAUACCCUGUU